rnacentral:rRNA from 1 species
CCUACGGGUGGCAGCAGUUAGGAAUUUUGGGCAAUGGGCGCAAGCCUGACCCAGCAACGCCGCGUGGGUGACGAAGGCCUUCGGGUCGUAAAGCCCUUUUCCACGGGAAGAUAAUGACGGUACCGUGGGAAUAAGCCCCGGCUAACUACGUGCCAGCAGCCGCGGUAAUACGUAGGGGGCGAGCGUUGUCCGGAUUUACUGGGCGUAAAACGCUUGUAGGUGGCCACGCCAAGUCGGAUGUGAAAUCUCCCGGCUUAACUGGGAGGGGUCAUUCGAUACUGGCGGGCUCGAGGCAGGUAGGGGGAAGCGGAAUUCCCGGUGUAGUGGUGGAAUGCGUAGAUAUCGGGAGGAACACCAGUGGCGAAGGCGGCUUCCUGGACCUGUUCUGACACUGAGGAGCGAAAGCGUGGGGAGCGAUCCGGAUUAGAUACCCUAGUAGU